rfam:Ovis aries breed Texel chromosome 3, whole genome shotgun sequence.
UCCCUGAUGGCUCAGUUGGUAAAGAACCUGCCUGCAAUGCAAGAGACCCCAGUUCAAUUUCUGGGUCUGAGAG